ACACAAGCAUGUGUGGACCUGCAAAGUCCAGAAGAGGGUGUCAGAUUCCUUGGAGUUGAAGGUACAGGCCAUUGUGGGAAUCCUGAUUUGUGUCUGGGGAAGAAAACUUCAGGUGAGCAGCAAGCACUCUUAAACACCAAGCCACCUGUCCAGCACCAGAAACUGUCAUUUUAAUCUAUGUGGUUUUGCGCGUCAGUCUGUAAUGAUUCCUCCCUAAAGGUUUUCAGAAACAAAGGGAGUGCACAAGUAAAUUUUGACAUCAGUAUUAUGUGCUAUUAGACUGGAUGUGUACAUAAAUCCGAUUGUUUUCAAGUAAGAAGCCUGUCUCAUUAGCUUAUACACUUGAUUUUUAUUUUUCCCAAUUUAUAUUGGCUAAUAGGCUGUGCUCACUUGGAGCUGAUGCUAACAAAAAGGAUAGUUGUUCUUACUUACUUUUUGGCAACUUUCAAUGAACUCAUCUAUGGUAACGACACCAUCUUUAUUUUUGUCCAUCUUCUGUUGAGAAAGAAAAGAAUAAAGCAUUGUAUUGAGUCGCCUUUUGACAGCCUCCCCAUACCCAGUAGAUUCAAAGAGAUAAGAAUGAAACUCAUUAUUUUGUGUUACAUGGGACAGUUUCACUCUAGGAGGAACUACUGAAUUCCUACAAUGGGGAAGCCCAAUCAUUUUAGGUUGUGUGUUUUCCCCCCUGUGUAAUGCCACCUAAAUUGUUUUCUAAAUUUGACAGUACUCGCAGAGUUUCCUGAGAUGUAGAGCCUUGGAUUUUUCAUCUAUAAAAUAGAAGAGUAUUGAGAAUUCGGUAUCUUUAAGAUCCUUGUGGGACCUGCAUCACAACGCUUUCUGAAAUAAGAGAAUGCUUUUGUCAGGGUAUUGUCACUCUUCUAGAAGUACAGUUGUCUGUCAUAAUACACUUAAAAGCCCAGAUUAUGAAAUGAAGGCAGUAUUUGUUCUAUUAUUCUGUCCCUAGGAAUAAACAUUCUUGUUGCAGUUUUUGUUGUUUUUGUUUUUCAUCAGUGUGUUUUCCAGGCAUCAGGCAAUCUACUUCUAACCAUCCCUCCCUGCUCGCAUUGUUCAUUCCCACCUGGAAGAACGUCUCCACAUGCUGUCGGGGAGCAUCUUCCUUGAGGACCGGUCUUACAUUUAGCAUUCCUUGAUGACAUGUCAUCUGACUCCAUGUAUCCUGUGCCAGUAACUAAUCAAACAGUGGAGCCCUGACCCUCGAGUCUGUAUCUAAUAAGCGGGAAGACGAACCAUGGAUAAGUGGUCCUAAGACACAGAAGUUAAAGCAAGGAACCUGUUGCUCUCAGACUAUCAACCUGAAUAAAUGAUGACUCUGUGGAAGAAGACAGCUACAAUAUGAAGCUGUCUGCCAUCGGAGAUUGCCUUCUUCCUGGGACCAUUUGUCCUUUGCCGGCAUCACUGGAAGAUGUAAUUUGCAUGCAUAAUAUUAAUUUUUAAAUGGCACGUCAUCAUUCUUAGCACUAUCGCAUUCUCUCCAACGAUGUACCUUUAGAUUUAUGCAGUCAAUUAACAUGAAUAAUCAAGGAAAUUGUAAGAGCCAGAAAGUGAUUCUUUCUGCCUUAGAUCCCUUCUGAUUUGUGAGAAAAAUCCUUUGCAAUGUAGAUAUUCUCUAAUGGAAAAAUAAUUCUUUUUUAAAGUUUUCAUUUUAAUGUAGAGAGCAACCUAAGUUGUAGUAUGCAAUAACUUUGAUUAAAAAAUAAAUAAUAACAAAGAUUUC